rnacentral:rRNA from 1 species
AACGAACGCUGGCGGCAUGCCUAACACAUGCAAGUCGAACGAGACCUUCGGGUCUAGUGGCGCACGGGUGCGUAACGCGUGGGAACCUGCCCUUAGGUUCGGACUAACUCCCCGACAGGGGUGCUAAUACCGGAUAAUGUCUUCGGACCAAAGAUUUAUCGCCUUUGGAUGGGCCCGCGUUGGAUUAGCUCGUUGGUAGGGUAAAAGCCUACCAAGGCGACGAUCCAUAGCUGGUCUGAGAGGAUGAUCAGCCACACUGGGACUGAGACACGGCCCAGACUCCUACGCGAGGCAGCAGUGCGGAAUAUUGGACAAUGGGCGAAAGCCUGAUCCAGCAAUGCCGCGUGAGUGAUGAAGGCCGUAGGGUUGUAAAGCUCUUUUACCCGGGAUGAUAAUGACAGUACCGGGAGAAUAAGCUCCGGCUAACUCCGUG